UCUGACUUGACAGAGAACUUCCCAUCAAAUGCAUACUCCGGAGCCAUGUAGCCACUGUAAUGAGCUCUGAUGCAUUAUUCUCUAUGAGAAGAGUAUGUAUACAUAACUGCUUUGUGUGUGUGUGACACUUACUAUGUCCCAGCAACUCGUUUUGUUCUCGCUGUAGACUGAUCGCCUUCAAACAUUCUAGCUAGACCGAAAUCUGAGAUCUUCGCAUUCAGAUUCUCAUCUAAUAAGAUAUUGCUUGCUUUUAGGUCCCUGUGGAUGAUUUUCACUCUGGAAUCAUUAUGGAGGUAAACCAUACCCCUUGCAAUCCCCAUGAUAAUAUCGAAGCGCUUUGGCCAAGUCAAUAGUGGCCUUCUUUCUUGAUCUGCAUGUGUUGAAGAGUAUUACUAAGGUAAAAAUAAAACUGUAAUCUCUUGGAUAGAGUAGAAACUGUAGAAAGAUUUUCUCGAAAUUAUUAUCCAAACCAAAAAUGAAAUAGUCCAAGCUUUUGUUCUGCAUGUAUUCAUAGAUCAACAUCUUUUCCUCCCCUUCAAUGCAGCAUCCCAGGAUUUUGACCAGGUUCCUGUGCUGGAGUUUCGCGAUCAAAAUGAAUUCAUUUCUGAACUCUUCGGGGCCUUGUCCAGAACUCCUCGACAUUCUUUUCACCGCAAUUACUUGCUCUGCUGAUAGAAUUCCCUGCAGUGGCCAAAUCAAAAUCAAACUCAAACAGUAUAUAUUAUUGCUACUAUAAGUAAAUAUUGAUUUAUAAGCAUCACUUAACAUAAUGUUUUUACCUUGUAAACAGGACCAAAACCGCCUUCUCCAAUCAUAUUCUCUGUUGAGAAGUUAUUCGUGGCUGUUGCGAUGGUUCCCAAAUCAAAUAAAGGUAACUCUAAUCCACCCCUUACCUUCUUAGAAGCUGUGAAAGCAGUUAGUUAUACAUUUGUUCAAGUGUCUAUAAUAUUUGCUUGCAACAUAUAUCUUUACUGUGUAAACACAAUCAGUAAUUUGACCUUGUCUCCUGUGUCUUAUCUGUAGAAAAAAGCCUCCAAUAGCAAAGCCCAAUAUAAGCAUUCCAAACCCAGAAGCAGCAGCACCUAUAAGCUUCAACUCUCUCUUUGCUUGCCCUGUCCUCUUCCUAUUCGAAUCUGUCGCAUGUUCUAAGACGAAAUAUCAAGUAUUAGUAAUAAGGUUUGAUAAAAUACAAUCUCAGCUAAUCUCCUUAGCUCAUUAUAGAAUGCACUGAAGUAUUCAUCAUACCAAGUUCUGUAACAGGCACGCGAAUAUAAACAGUCGGUACUGCUCCAGAUUCUGUGCUCAGCUCCCUUAAGUCAAUCAAGUCCCCAAACCACAUCAAACAGUUUCUUUCAUAAUCUGAGUAAGGAUCAUCAGCAUAAGCCGUGCAGUUACAUUCGCUUAGGCAUUUUCUGCGACAUUCAACAGAGCUCAUAUUAGCAUUCAACUGAAAAUUCAGUGAAUCAGGGAACUUGAUUCCUUCCAUCUUCAGAAAGUCAUCUCCCUUUUGGCAAUCUAAUGGUGGAUCUCUAUAACAUCCAUUUCUCCACUCAUACAUCCUCCAUUCCUUUUCAGAUCUCGGCUUGAAUCCCCUUAGACACUCACAUACUGGCAUUUUGUUAAUCUUGCAGAUGCCAUAAUGACCACACCUGCCAUAACUGUUACACAAAUCGUCUGUAGAGGCUAUCAUGAGAUUCCAGUGGUCUUUUUGGUCGUUCAUGAUGUAUCCCUCGAGCACGCCUGAGUAGUUCAUUGUUACCCUUAUGAUUGCUGAAUCACUGAAAGGGUUGGAUACUGAAACCAAUCUGCCCCCUUGUGAUGAAAAUUCUGUUUUCCAGUCUUGAUUUGGUGAAUUCGGAAAUUCAGGGAAGUGGCCUCCCCAGAAGAUCGUCCUAUACACUCUUUGUGCCCCCUUGGUAAGCAUGAGUUGAGACAAUCCAUGGUUUUCAAUCCUGUAGCUGAAUUCUCCGACAGAUGGGUCGUCAACAGUUCUCCACGAUGUCAGAUAUUUAGCCUGAUCUCCAGUAUGAGUGUCUCCCACCACCAUCUUCAUUCCAG
rnacentral:lncRNA from 1 species